rnacentral:lncRNA from 1 species
GAGCAUGAGAGAGGGAUGCUCUGACCAGCUCACACAUUCACCAUUAAACAGAAGCCAAGAGAGAGCAGGCUCCAGCAUCUACCGUAUCUGUUCCUACACAGUGUAAGCAGAGAAUGCCAGAACACAUCUCGUUAUCCAGAUUUUCAAAGGUGGUUAGAAUCCUGACAGCUACAAUUCCCAAAGCCUGGGCUAGAGAGCUGGUUCAGCGGUUAAGAGCACCAACUACUCUUCCAGAGGUCCUGAGUUCAAGUCCCAGCAACUCCCAGUGUACUCAUAUAAAUAAAAUAAAUAAAUCUUUUUUAAAAAAACUUGUUUAUUUUAUGUGAUUACACUGUCUCUGUCUUCAUACACACCAGAAGAGUGCAUCAGAUCCCAUUACAGGUGGUUAUAAGCUACCAUGUGGUUGCUGGGACUUGAACUCAGGACCUCUGGAAGAGCAGUCAGUGUUCUUAACCACUGAGCCAUCUCUUCAGCCCAAUAAGUAAUUCUUAAAAACAAAAACAAAAACAAAAACAAAAACAAAAACAAAAACAACAAAAAACCCCAAUUCCUAAAGCCUGUGAUGCAAUUGUGACAUCAAAGCAGUACCCGCCCAUGUCUGGCUGAUUUCAUACAACUAUCACCCUUUUAAUGUCUUCUCUUGAGUGACUGAAUGUUGAAGGGGAACAAGGUAGAGAGCGUCUUGGGAAUCCAUUUCCCUCACCAUAGACUCUAUCAACUGAUUCUAAAAGUCUUGGUCACCUCAAAUCAAACAUCUCAGACUGCUUGCGUUUGCCCGCUCGCUGCUGUUUAGUGUUCAAGGGUGAGCUAAUAGGAAACUUGAACUUCGCUUCCUGCUUCCUCCGCCUCCAGGCUGUCAGAGAAUUCAUGCAGGGCUUGGCUUGCCUUGUGUUUCCUUGGAGUGUGGCAAAGAACAGCACUGCCACCUACUACACAAAGCCAACGAGCUGUCCCUGAAAGCUGGGUCACAUGAGCCUCUCUGGCAUCUGCUACACGCAGUGAUGUACUCAUUGGUUUGAAAGGCUCAAAAUCCACACAAGCUUUCUUUUUGUUUCAUCCUUUGCUACAGUUGUUCCACGGUAAACAACCAGGCCAUGGAGCCUGUUUUGUGUGAAGUAUAUUUCUGCCAUACAGAUAUGUUGGCUCCCACAAAAAGAUGGUUUCUCUUGAUUUCAUAUAAGAUGCAGUCAGAAACUCUGCUGUGAACAUGACUGUGACUCACAAAAUUGAGUUUGGGGAGGAGUGAUCAAUGACCCAACAGUGGCCCAUGCUACCACCCACGGGUGGCGUCCAAGCUCUAUAUGAGCUUCCUGUUCUCCUAAAUCA